rnacentral:rRNA from 1 species
UACGGGGGGGCAAGCGUUGCUCGGAAUUACUGGGCGUAAAGGGCGCGUAGGCGGUUCGCUAAGUUGAAUGUGAAAACUCUGGGCUUAACCCAGAGCCUGCAUUCAAUACUGGCGGGCUAGAGUUCUGGAGGGGAUAGCGGAAUUCCUGGUGUAGCGGUGGAAUGCGUAGAGAUCCGGAGGAACACCAAAGGCGAAGGCAGUGUCCUGGGGAGUACCUGACGCUCAGGUGCGAAAGCCAGGGGAGCGAACGGG